AACGAACGCUGGCGGCAUGCCUAACACAUGCAAGUCGAACGAGACCUUCGGGUCUAGUGGCGCACGGGUGCGUAACGCGUGGGAACCUGCCCUUAGGUUCGGAAUAACUCCCCGAAAGGGGUGCUAAUACCGGAUAAUGUCUUCGGACCAAAGAUUUAUCGCCUUUUGAUGGGCCCGCGUUGGAUUAGCUAGUUGGUAGGGUAAAAGCCUACCAAGGCGACGAUCCAUAGCUGGUCUGAGAGGAUGAUCAGCCACACUGGGACUGAGACACGGCCCAGACUCCUACGGGGGGCAGCAGUGGGGAAUAUUGGACAAUGGGCGAAAGCCUGAUCCAGCAAUGCCGCGUGAGUGAUGAAGGCCUUAGGGUUGUAAAGCUCUUUUACCCGGGAUGAUAAUGACAGUACCGGGAGAAUAAGCGCCGGCUAACUCCGUG
rnacentral:rRNA from 1 species